GCAUGUGAGGCUGAUCUGGCUGCAACUCCUGACACCCCACUGACCGUCAGGGUUGGCUUGACUGGCUAGGCGGGUGUCCCGUUCCUCCCUCACUGCUCCGUGCGCGUCACUCCUGAAGCUGUGCGCUCUGUUGAAGAGGCCAGCCUUCUCCAAAUAGAGGUGGACCGUUCUUCGGUGGAGGGUAUAGGAGUAGCUGCACUUCCCUACUAGAACCUCCAAACGCUCUCAGUUGCUGUCUUUCCUAUCAGAUGAAGGGAGGUGGGGGGGAAGGCCACUGGGAGUGUCUUACAGAUGCCAAGCUCCAAUGAUAA
rnacentral:snRNA from 1 species